AUACGUAGGUGGCAAGCGUUGUCCGGAAUUAUUGGGCGUAAAGCGCGCGCAGGCGGUCCUUUAAGUCUGAUGUGAAAGCCCACGGCUCAACCGUGGAGGGUCAUUGGAAACUGGGGGACUUGAGUGCAGAAGAGGAAAGUGGAAUUCCAAGUGUAGCGGUGAAAUGCGUAGAGAUUUGGAGGAACACCAGUGGCGAAGGCGACUUUGUGGUCUGUAACUGACGCUGAGGCGCGAAAGCGUGGGGAGCAAACAGGAUUAGAUACCCUGGUAGUCUACGCCGUAAACGAUGAGUGCUAAGUGUUAGGGGGUUUCCGCCCCUUAGUGCUGCAGCUAACGCAUUAAGCACUCCGCCUGGGGAGUACGGUCGCAAGACUGAAACUCAAAGGAAUUGACGGGG
rnacentral:rRNA from 1 species